CUACGGGGUGCAGCAGUGGGGAAUAUUGGACAAUGGGGGAAACCCUGAUCCAGCAAUGCCGCGUGUGUGAAGAAGGCCUGCGGGUUGUAAAGCACUUUCGGUUGGGAGGACUGCUUCUAGCACUAAUAUUGUUGGAAGUUGACGUUACCUUCAGAAGAAGCACCGGCUAACUCCGUGCCAGCAGCCGCGGUAAUGACGGAGGGUGCAAGCGUUAAUCGGAAUUACUGGGCGUAAAGCGCGCGUAGGCGGCUAGAUCAGUCGGGUGUGAAAGCCCCGGGCUUAACCUGGGAACUGCAUCCGAUACUGUCUAGCUUGAGUACAGGAGAGGAGAGUGGAAUUCCACAUGUAGCGGUGAAAUGCGUAGAUAUGUGGAGGAACACCAAUGGCGAAGGCAGCUCUCUGGCCCGAUACUGACGCUGAGGUGCGAAAGCGUGGGGAGCAAACAGGAUUAGAUACCCUCGUAAUC
rnacentral:rRNA from 1 species